AUUAGUAAAAGAACAAAGAGCUUUACUGUAUAUCCUUGGAUCUAUGCAAUGAUGAGUUUAAUGAUAUGGUGGUUAUUUUGGCUGUCAUUCCGUCAAGGAUUCACAAUGAAAAUGGGUUGGAAUGAAGAACUUGAGUUUUGUGAGGAAGAAUGGAAGAAAUUUGUGGCGGACAAAAUUGAAAUCGAUUCGAAAUGCAACAAUACUCGUACACGUUGUUGUGUUGAGGAGAAGAAAUAUCUUUUGGAGCGAUUUAAAAUGUUUAGUGAAAUAUGUCCUCUUGAAGGGACAUGUGGAUGCAGCCCGAUUAUUUUGAACUUUACUGUUGGGUCAUAUGUCAUAACGAAAUCUCAUCGUCACUAUCGUUUUUUACGUUUGUAU